UACGGGGGGGGCAAGCGUUGUUCGGAAUUACUGGGCGUAAAGGGUUUGUAGGUGGCUCGCUAAGUCAUACGUGAAAUCCCUCGGCUUAACCGGGGAACUGCAUCUGAUACUGGAUGGCUUGAGUUCGGGAGAGGGAGUGCGGGAAUUCCAGGUGUAGCGGUGAAAUGACGUAGAUAUCUGGAGGAACACCGGUGGCGCAAGGCG
rnacentral:rRNA from 1 species